UCUCCGGCCAGAAUUAAUUAGAACAGCACUUUUGUGGCUUGUACAUGGACACUCAUCUUCAUUUCUUGGACUCUGAGCCUCAAUUUCUCAUUCAAGUGGAGAAAGCAUAUAACAAGAAUAUGUAAUGGACAUCCUACCUACAAUUUUCGGUAUAAGAGUUACAGCAAGUAAAGUUAAUCAGGAUAAGAUCAAGACAUUCCAGCACCCAGAAGCCUCCUGCCUGUUCCAUACCAACACCAUCUCCAAAGAUAACUACUACUCUGACUUCUAUUGCCAUAGCUUUGCCUGAUUUUGAACUUCAUGUGAAUGGAAUCCACGAAAAUUUCUGUCAACCUAUAGGACCGAGUACAGGGGAGCAAACUCAAGUCCUGCAUCUCAUCCCUGAUGCCCCUUCCUCAGUCUACUCACAUGAGCAUAACUCAGGAAGAAGAGCUGGUUGUUGGUGAAUGUGACGCCUGGUAGAAGAGGCUCCUCAACUCCCUGCCUUCUGUCACUUAUCCAUUUCCUGUAAGCCUGGUGAGAGAAGAAGAAGAGAUGAGUCUCCGCAACGAGACAGCAUUUCGGCAUGUUGGCCAGGCUGGUCUCAAACUCCUGACCUCAAGUGAUCCGCCCACUUCAGCCUCCCAAAGUUGUGGGACUACAGGCGUGAGC